rnacentral:lncRNA from 1 species
UCUACGAUUCGGCAAUGACGACAAUGACAAUCACGACGAUUUCUACAAUAAUAGGGGAUACGCAUGCAUACGCACAGUGUAAGUAUGGUUUUUUUGUUAGUUUGAUCAACCCGACCAUCUUCGUGAUAGGCUUCGAACCGAUCAAAUCCGACAUUAAAAUCGUCGCUUCCGUUGCGCGUAUGCAUUAUAAUCUCCAAACCGUGCGUUUUUUUUUUGUCAAUUUGAUCAACCCGACCAUCUUCGUGAUAGGUUUCGAACCGAUCAAAUUUGACAUUAAAUUGUCGCUUCCGUCGUAUGUAUCAACCGUGCGGCCAUCUUCGUGAUAGGCUCGACAUGGGUAUAAAAAUCAUGCGGCCAUCUUCGUGAUAGGCUCGACAUGGUUAAAAUGACCAAUCGAAUCGGGUGUUUCAUUACGUAAACCGUGCGGCCAUCUUCCUGAUAGGCUCGAUACGAUUAAACCCCGCACACUUGAACAAAACGUGAUAAUAAAAAAAAAAAA